rnacentral:rRNA from 1 species
AUUGAACGCUGGCGGCAGGCUUAACACAUGCAAGUCGAACGAGUGGCGGACGGGUGAGUAAUGUCUGGGAAACUGCCCGAUGGAGGGGGAUAACUACUGGAAACGGUAGCUAAUACCGCAUACCAUCGGAUGUGCCCAUAUGGGAUUAGCUAGUGGGUGGGGUAACGGCUCACCUAGGCGACGAUCCGUAGCUGGUGUGAGAGGACGACCAGCCACACUGGAACUGAGACACGGUCCAGACUCCUACGGGAGGCAGCAGUGGGGAAUAUUGCACAAUGGGCGCAAGCCUGAUGCAGCCAUGCCGCGUGUAUGAAGAAGGCCUUCGGGUUGUAAAGUACUUUCGGCGGAGAGGCGGUACUCGCAGAAGAAGCACCGGCUAACUACGUGCCAGCAGCCGCGGUAAUUC